rnacentral:tRNA from 1 species
UAAAAGGUGGCUGAGGUUUAGGCACUAGAUUGUAAAUCUAGUAACGAGAGUUAUUCUCCCUUUUAA